rnacentral:rRNA from 1 species
UACGGGGGGAGCAAGCGUUGUUCGGAGUUACUGGGCGUAAAGCGUGCGUAGGCGGUUUUGUAAGUUUGGUGUGAAAUCUCCCGGCUCAACUGGGAGGGUGCGCCGAAAACUGCAAGGCUGGAGUGUGGGAGAGGUAGGCGGAAUUCCUGGUGUAGCGGUGAAAUGCGCAGAUAUCAGGAGGAACACCGGUGGCGAAGGCGGGUCUCUGGGCCGAUACUGACGCUGAGGAGCGAAAGCGUGGGGAGCGAACAGG